rnacentral:rRNA from 1 species
GCAGAGCAUCCUACGGGAGGCAGCAGUGGGGAAUAUUGCACAAUGGGCGCAAGCCUGAUGCAGCCAUGCCGCGUGUAUGAAGAAGGCCUUCGGGUUGUAAAGUACUUUCAGCAGUGAGGAAGGUGGGUAUGUUAAUAGCAUAUUCAUUUGACGUUAGCUGCAGAAGAAGCACCGGCUAACUCCGUGCCCAGCAGCCGCGGUAAUACGGAGGGUGCGAGCGUUAAUCGGAAUUACUGGGCGUAAAGCGCAUGCAGGUGGUUUGUUAAGUCAGAUGUGAAAGCCCGGGGCUCAACCUCGGAAUUGCAUUUGAAACUGGCAAACUAGAGUACUGUAGAGGGGGUAGAAUUUCAGGUGUAGCGGUGAAAUGCGUAGAGAUCUGAAGGAAUACCGGUGGCGAAGGCGGCCCCCUGGACAGAUACUGACACUCAGAUGCGAAAGCGUGGGGAGCAAACAGGAUUAGAUACCCUGGUAG